GAUGAACGCUGGCGGCGUGCCUAAUACAUGCAAGUCGAGCGAACAGACGAGGAGCUUGCUCCUCUGACGUUAGCGGCGGACGGGUGAGUAACACGUGGAUAACCUACCUAUAAGACUGGGAUAACUUCGGGAAACCGGAGCUAAUACCGGAUAAUAUAUUGAACCGCAUGGUUCAAUAGUGAAAGACGGUUUUGCUGUCACUUAUAGAUGGAUCCGCGCCGCAUUAGCUAGUUGGUAAGGUAACGGCUUACCAAGGCAACGAUGCGUAGCCGACCUGAGAGGGUGAUCGGCCACACGGGAGCUGAGACACGGUCCAGACUCCUACGGGAGGCAGCAGUAGGGAAUCUUCCGCAAUGGGCGAAAGCUUGACGGAGCAACGCCGCGUGAGUGAUGAAGGUCUUCGGAUCGUAAAACUCUGUUAUUAGGGAAGAACAAAUGUGUAAGUAACUAUGCACGUCUUGACGGUACCUAAUCAGAAAGCCACGGCUAACUACGUG
rnacentral:rRNA from 1 species